GGAGGUAUAGCUCAGUGGUAGAGCAUUCGACUGUAGAUCGAGAGGUCCCCGGUUCAAAUCCGGGUGCCCCCU
rnacentral:tRNA from 1 species